AGUGUACGGACUUGAUACAAAUUGUAAGGCUUAUUUCAAUGCCACCAAGCUCAGUAACAUGAAGCGACUGUUAGGGAUGAAGACUACCCCGGAAGUAGAAGAGUAUCUUUCCCGUUUUGGUUUCCCGGAUAGAACUACAGCAUCCGGUGACAUCUAUAUACCCGAUUUACCAGACCCCACGAUACCGAUUCCUGAUAUUCCAGUGGUUGUAAUGGGCUUAUCUUCUAAUCAUUUUGAUGAAGCGAAGGCCUCGCUGUAUUCGCUUGACAAUAUUUUAAGGCCAGCUUAUCCAGAUAUCAAAGUUAUUUUAUAUGAUAUAGGAUUAACAGAAACAGAACGACAAGCCGUGAGAAGGUAUGGUAAAUGUGAAUUAAGAAUUUUUGAUUUUAAAAAGUAUCCUGAACAUGUAAAAGUUCUACACCUUUGUGCCUGGAAACCAAUUAUAAUACAGGAAGUCCUGAACCAAUAUGGUUUUGUCCUGUACACGGAUGCUUCAGGUCGAUUUAGAAGUUCAAGAUUUACACCAACUUUUAAUUAUGUGAAGGAAACAGGUGUCAUUUUCCGCUCAGUAGAACAUCUACCAUAUUUUCUAGUUAAUCACACAUUUGCUAAAACAUUUGAAUAUUUUCAAGAGAAACCAUGUUUGUUUCAUAAAAUAAAAGAACCAGGCGCGACAUUUGGUUUGGUUGUGAAAAACAACCUGUAUUCCUACGCCAUCAUGAGAUCGUGGUUAACAUGCGCACUUCAGAGAUAUUGUAUUAUGCCCGAAGGGACAGAACAAAGACUUAAAUGUCCAUUGAAUGUUUUUAAAUAUCAUAAAUGCCAUCGUGAAGAUCAAUCAGCUUUGGGUAUUGCUAUAAGCAUGAUUUAUCAUUACCCAGAACGACGACCUUAUCUUGCAGAGGAAAUAUAUUACAUCUACUGGGAUAGAAAACCGGGCUAUUUUUAAACUAAAGAAAAACAGAUCAAUUUAAAUCACAGUCUGUCCAGUGGACUGACUAUGUCGUUCGCCAUUUCUGCCAAUUGCGAUAAAAUAAAAGUAUUUGGGCAAUUUUUGUUGUGGUGAUAUUUUUUGUUCCGCUAAAAUUUAUUUAAGCUUUUUUAAUCAUUAUGUUGUCAAUGCGUUCCUAAUAAGGGUCAACGCUCGCCCUGUCAAUCCCUAUUUCCACGAAUUGCGAUAAAAAUAUAAUUUUGGACUAUCCAUCCGGAGAUGAUUCGUCUCUACGGUCAAUUCGUCCCAAGACAAUUCGUCCUCUUACUAUUUGUCCCCUAAGACAAUUUCUCUCCGAUCAACAACAAUGGUAGUUCCAUGUAGAUUUGAUAUCAAUUAGUUAUAACAUGGUCCUUAUGUAUUAAGGUCCAUGGUUAUAACUUCUUCAACCGCUUCAUAAUUAGUGGUAAUUAAAUUUUAAUUGUAUUCAAAUUUAUAAACCUAAUUUAGGCCUUUCUCUAAUUAGCAUUUAAGAAAAUAGCUUCCUACAUCUCAGCUCACAGCCGACUUUUAAACAUUUUUAAAUGUAAUCAUUACAAUUACUUUCUCAUUUUUAGCAAUGUAAUUAAUUACCAUUACCCAUUGCAUUGAAAGCAAUUAAUUACCAUUACCCAUUACUUUAUGAGUAUAUAAAUUUAAAAAAAACAUUUUUCAUAGACGACCUUAAACAGACAAUCUUAUUUUUCUACAACGAAGCGCAUACAAAAUCAAACUCGAUAAUAAUUCUUGAUUCACAAUAAUAGAUAUUUGUGUAUGAAUUGUUAUUUCUAUAUAUUAUAACAUCAAGGCAAAUUUUCAAAUGACGGGCAGUGGCGACAACAACUGAUCUUUUCACUGUAUGACUUGAAAAAAUGAAUUAACUUUAUUUUUUUAAAAGUAAUUUUAUAAAAUUCUUAACUUUAUUUUUUUAAAAGUAAUUUUAUAAAAUUCUUAAUCAAUCCAAAUAGUUUUUCUAUAA